rnacentral:tRNA from 1 species
GUCAGUUUGGCAUAGUGGUUUGAAUGUUAGAUUGCGACUCUGGAGACCAGGGUUUGAUUCCCAGCUUGAACA